rnacentral:rRNA from 1 species
CCUACGGGCUGCAGCAGUCGAGAAUCAUUCACAAUGGGGGAAACCCUGAUGGUGCGACGCCGCGUGGGGGAAUGAAGGUCUUCGGAUUGUAAACCCCUGUCAUGUGGGAGCAAAUUAAAAAGAUAGUACCACAAGAGGAAGAGACGGCUAACUCUGUGCCAGCAGCCGCGGUAAUACAGAGGUCUCAAGCGUUGUUCGGAAUCACUGGGCGUAAGGCGUGCGUAGGCUGUUUCGUAAGUCGUGUGUGAAAGGCGCGGGCUCAACCCGCGGACGGCACAUGAUACUGCGAGACUAGAGUAAUGGAGGGGGAACCGGAAUUCUCGGUGUAGCAGUGAAAUGCGUAGAUAUCGAGAGGAACACUCGUGGCGAAGGCGGGUUCCUGGACAUUAACUGACGCUGAGGCACGAAGGCCAGGGGAGCGAAAGGGAUUAGAUACCCCAGUAGUC